UACCUUUUUCAUUUUUCAUCUAUGUUUUAUCAGCUGGUUCUUCGGUUGUUGAUGUUGUUCCCCCACCGAGACUCAGACCAGCACCUCAGACAACUGAUAUUGGGUCUUGUGGUGCCACACCAGCAGAGAGACCAGCACCUGAAACACCUGAGACACCAGACAUUGGGUCUUCUGUUUUUGGUGCCCCACCGGUACAGAGACAAGACCAGGACAUAGGCAACUGGACCUGUUCGCAUCAUCAAAAAG